GACGAACGCUGGCGGCGUGCUUAACACAUGCAAGUCGAACGAAGUGGCGAACGGGUGAGUAAUACGUGGGUAACCUGCCCUCCUUUUUGGGAUAAGCCUUGGAAACGGGGUCUAAUACCGAAUAAAGGGGGAUGGGCUCGGGGCCUAUCAGCUUGUUGGUGGGGUGAGGGCCUACCAAGGCGGUGACGGGUAGCCGGCCUGAGUGGGUGACCGGGCACAUUGGGCCUGAGGUACGGCCCAGACGGCUACGUGGGGCAGCAGGGGGGAAUAGUGCACGAAAGGGCAAACCCUGAAGCAGGGACGCCGCGUGCGAGAGGACGGCUUUCGGGUUGUAAACCGCUUUCAGCCAUGACGCGGUAGUGGCAGAAGAAGCACCGGCUAACUACGUGCCAGCAGCCGCGGUAAUUC
rnacentral:rRNA from 1 species